rnacentral:rRNA from 1 species
UACGUAGGGAGCAAGCGUUGUCCGGAUUCAUUGGGCGUAAAGAGCUCGUAGGCGGCUUAGCAAGUCAGGUGUGAAAACUCCAGGCUCAACCUGGAGACGCCACUUGAUACUGCUAUGGCUUGAGUUCGGUAGGGGACCAUGGAAUUCCUGGUGUAGCGGUGAAAUGCGCAGAUAUCAGGAGGAACACCUGUGGCGAAAGCGGCGCACUGGACCACAACUGACGCUGAGGCGCGAAAGCUAGGGGAGCAAACAGG